AUGCCUAGCUCUUAUGAUGCUUAUUCUAGAGGCCAUCCUUAUGUUGCUCCUACAUGCCAUAUUUGUGGAUUUCAGGGCCAUUCACCCGCUGAAUGUCAGCGUGGUUACUCUCAUCCUCCGGAUUGUUUUGGUAUGAACUUUGCUCAACAGCAUGGCUCAUGCCAAAACAAUUACUCAUAUGGGUGGCCUGGAAACCAUAAUAUGUCAUAUAGGAACAGCAACCCUGAGAUCUCAUCGUUUGCCUCUAGUUAUCCAAUGCAGGGAUUUAGGUAUGAAGAGGAGAGCCACAACUAUGCUCCACAACAGUCUUAUUCAGCUCCUAUUCAUAUACCUCAGCACCAGGAGAUGUUGCCAAUGGAGUUAAAUGGUCCUCCAUUUGGUUAA
rnacentral:rRNA from 1 species